CUACGGACUUGAUUGUAUUGAGCCUUGGUAUGGAAACCUGCUAAGUGGCAACUUCCAAAUUCAGAGAAACCCUGGAAUUAAAAAAGGGGCAAUCCUGAGCCAAAUCCAUGUUUUGAGAAAACAAGCGGUUCUCGAACUAGAACCCAAAGGAAAAGGAUAGGUGCAGAGACUCAAUGGAAGCUGUUCUAACGAAUCGAGUUAAUUACGUUGUGUUGCUAGCGGAACUCCCUUCUAAAUUAGGGAAAGAAGGGCUUUCGAAAUCUAAUACACACGUAUAGAUACUGGCAUAGCAAACGAUUAAUCACAGAACUCAUAUCAUAAUAUAGGUUCUUUAAUUCUUUUUUAAAAUGAAAAUAGGAAUGAUUAUGAAAUAGAAAAUUCAUAAUUUUUUUAGAAUUGUUGUGAAUCCAUUCCAAUCGAAUAUUGAGUAAUCAAAUCCUUCAAUUCAUAGUUUUCGAAAUCUUUUUAAAAGCGGAUUAAUCGGACGAGGAUAAAGAGAGAGUCCCAUUCUACAUGUCAAUACUGA
rfam:Oryza glaberrima chromosome 3 Oglab03_unplaced014_3, whole genome shotgun sequence.